rnacentral:tRNA from 1 species
GGGGGCAUAGCUCAGUGGUAGAGCAGCAGCCUUUUAAGCUGUUGGUCGAAGGUCCGAAUCCUUCUGCCCUCA